CAUUACCCAUGACAAACCGCAAAGAAUCGUAUUACCCAUAUACGCCUUCGCCCAUUUAGUUCUUCUAAAUUGUAAGCAAAUUAAUUGUAAAUUUCGACGUGCUAAAACUCUGUUUUCUGACCAUCAGAAUUCUGUCAAAACUUCCCCCAAAGUCCACGAAAUGGCAUUUCAGAGACUCUAAAUUUAAAAAUUUCCUCGGGCCUUCGGCCCUCGCCACUCCCUAUCAAAAAGAAUUUCCUACGGAACUGCACGCUUCUGUGCGGAACUGCACGCUUCUGUAAUGUCUGUGCGUAAAAUAUGAGUAUUUUUGUUUGUAAAUUGCGUUUUCAUUUUCCGGAUAGCAAACACCUUCGUGGCUUCGUAUGCCAUGAAAUAUUCGGAAAUUUUUUUCGUCAUUCGGAAAUUUUUGGCCUACACCCCCCCCCCCCAACUAGCAUGCUUAGCUACGGCCCUGCCAGGCGUUUUCCUCUUUAUCUAGCCUACAUUUGUUUUGUGACUCUUACGGCAUGCAGCUAGAGCAAAUACCUGUAAAACAAUAAAGACUAUGGAUUAUAAUAAUGCAAUCGAUUUGCGGAGAUCUGGACAAGUAUGAAUACAACUGACACUCAGCCGAAAAACAUUGUUACGUAAAACAUUCCGACAUUCUCUAGCGAGAAUCAGUGAUACUUCAGAAACGAUUUCUCCAGAAAUGUACAACCUUUCGAGGUGUCCCCGCACACUAUCAUUGCAUGAAGAAAGCCAAAAUAUCUCACUCAGCCCUCGAGAGUCUCCACAUAGUUUUGGGUCUCUCUCACUUAAAAAGCAUUUGCCAGACAUGGUUAAAGAGAAUAAAGGAAAAGCAUGCC